GCAGUAUUGAUGGAAAAAGGAUCCCUACUUAGAAUAGUUUCUCUGGAGUGAGUAUAACUGCCUUUAUUAAAAUGUUUCUAUUUCUUGUAACAAUUUCCUAAUUGUAUAGUUUAUAGGCAAGCAAUAAACAGCAAGAUGUUUGAGGUGGAUAUGAAAAUUGCUGCAAUGCAUGUAAAAAGAAAGCAACUCCAUCAACUACUACCUAAUCAUGUGCUUCAGAAAAAGAAAAAGCAUUCAACAGAAGGUGUCAAAUUGACAGCUCUCAAUGACAGCAGCCUCGACUUGUCUAUGGACAGUGAUAACAGCAUGUCUGUGCCUUCACCUACUAGUGCUACGAAGACCAGUCCAUUGAACAGUUCUGGCAGCUCUCAGGGGUAAGGAAAAAGAGGGAAAUAGAAGUGGAGGGGCUGUUUGCUAAAUCAAUCAGAUACAUUCUCUUUUUGCUAUUAAAGUCAUCUAUUUAGAAUGUUAUUUUCAUUCCAUCUACUAAUUUUUUUUUAAAUAGCAAUUUAAUUCCCAGGUUUGGGGAUAGUACUUUUUGGUUUUGUCUUGUCAUACUUAACAUUUUAUUUUUGAGACUGAUAAUGUCUUCAGUCAGAUGUGAAUGAAUGUUAGCACAUAACCCCUCCAAAUUCAUGUAUUUAGAUAGCUACUGCUACAGUGCACUGUAUGGUGUGCUGAUGAGAACAGACAAAAGGAACAAAACCACCUUUCUGUCCCAGAGCUGCUUAUACC
rnacentral:lncRNA from 1 species